GGCCCGAUUGUUCACAUGUUUGCUGGGUUGUGAUUGUAUCACAAACUCCUCACAUGCAUCCCCACAUUUAUCCAAAAGUGAAAAUGGGAACUGUCAGUUAAAAGGUCGAACUCUGAACAGCAUCGAGAUUAGAGGCUACCUCGAUCCCAACCGAUGCCAACGACCUGAUUUCAAAACCAUCGGCCAUGAAUUUGAGCCUUAUAGGAGCUUUCGAAUAUCUAGCCUAGCUGCUCCUGUUACCCUCCGAUAGAAGAUGACAUUUAGAACCAUUUUAACAAGGCCCGAAAGUGAGGGGCGAGCGAUCCAAUCUAAUUAGCA
rnacentral:lncRNA from 1 species